rnacentral:rRNA from 1 species
UCUUGCAAUUGGAAUGAGUACAAUUUAAAUCUCUUAACGAGGAUCAAUUGGAGGGCAAGUCUGGUGCCAGCAGCCGCGGUAAUUCCAGCUCCAAUAGCGUAUAUUAAAGUUGUUGCAGUUAAAAAGCUCGUAGUUGGAUUUCUGGUGGGAGCACGGGUCGGCCCUCACGGGUUGUACUGUUGUUGCGUCCUGCCGUUUCGGAGGGAAUGGCCUCGCUAUUAAGUUAGCGUGGUCGGGAACUCUGUCGUUUACUGUGAAAAAAUUAGAGUGUUCAAAGCAGGCCUUCGCUGUGAAUACAUUAGCAUGGAAUAAUAAGAUAGGACUGUAGUGCUAUUUUGUUGGUUUGCGUACUAUGGUAAUGAUUAAUAGGGAUAGUUGGGGGUAUUCAUAUUCAAUUGUCAGAAGUGAAAUUCUUGGAUUUAUGGAAGAAGAACUACUGCGAAAGCAUUUACCAAGGAUGUUUUCUUUAAUCAAGAACGAAAGUUAGGGGAUCGAAGAUGAAUAGAUACCAUCGUAGUCUUAACCAUAAACUAUGCCGACUCGGGAUUGGCCGACCUUUGAAUUAAUGACUCGGUCAGCACCUUAUGAGAAAUCAAAGUCUUUGGGUUCCGGGGGGAGU